rnacentral:rRNA from 1 species
UACGUAGGGGGCAAGCGUUAUCCGGAUUUACUGGGUGUAAAGGGAGCGUAGACGGCGAUGCAAGUCUGGAGUGAAAGCCCGGGGCUCAACCCCGGGACUGCUUUGGAAACUGUGUUGCUAGAGUGCAGGAGAGGUAAGUGGAAUUCCUAGUGUAGCGGUGAAAUGCGUAGAUAUUAGGAGGAACACCAGUGGCGAAGGCGGCUUACUGGACUGUAACUGACGUUGAGGCUCGAAAGCGUGGGGAGCAAACAGG